rnacentral:lncRNA from 1 species
CGUCCUAAAUGUUUCGACAUUAUCCUUAGCUUAUCCCAAGACUCCUAGUUAAUCAUAAAUUGACGUCAUGUUAUCCUAGAAUACUUUCGUUAACCUAACUUAAGACUAAGCCAUGUCAUAAAACACCCUUACACAAUUUCAGUAUAUUUACUGUGAACAAACAUAAAGUUACUGUACUUCCUUGGUUUUAAAAUGUUAAAAUAAAA